CCUACGGGGGGCUGCAGUAAGGAAUAUUGGUCAAUGGACGCAAGUCUGAACCAGCCAUGCCGCGUGGAGGAUGAAGGUCCUCUGGAUUGUAAACUUCUUUUAUUUGGGAAGAAACUCCCGAUUUCCAUCGGGAUUGACGGUACCAGAUGAAUAAGCACCGGCUAACUCCGUGCCAGCAGCCGCGGUAAUACGGAGGGUGCCAGCGUUAUCCGGAUUAACUGGGGUGAAAGGGUGCGGAGGUGUGAGGGGUGAAAUCUCCGGGCUUAACCCGGAAACUGCCAUUGAUACUAGUUGGCUUGAAUACUGUGGAGGUGAGCGGAAUAUGUCAUGUAGCGGUGAAAUGCUUAGAUAUGACAUAGAACACCCAUUGCGAAGGCAGCUCACUACGGAAAUAUUGACGCUGAGGCACGAAAGCGUGGGGAUCAAACAGGAUUAGAUACCCGUGUAGUC
rnacentral:rRNA from 1 species